rnacentral:rRNA from 1 species
UACGGAGGGUGCAAGCGUUAUCCGGAUUUACUGGGUUUAAAGGGUGCGUAGGCGGCUUGAUAAGUCAGUGGUGAAAGCUCGCAGCUUAACUGUGAAACUGCCAUUGAAACUGCCAAGCUUGAGUACGAUUGAUGUGGGCGGAAUACAUCAUGUAGCGGUGAAAUGCUUAGAUAUGAUGUAGAACACCGAUUGCGAAGGCAGCUCACAAAAUCGCAACUGACGCUGAGGCACGAAAGCGUGGGGAGCAAACAGG